UCUCUGAGAUAUUACUGGCCAGCGAUGUCUGUUGACAUUAAUGAGUGGGUAUGUAAACAAUACAAAAAGAGUAUACUUGUUUGUUCAUUUUUUUUAGCCUGCAAACGUAAUGAAUGAAACUAUUCCUUUGUAUCUUUUGCAAACAAUUCAAAAUGAUUAUCUAAGAUCUUGCCCUUUUUGCAUGCAUUUAUUAACAAUGACUACUUUUCCACAAACCUUGUCAUUGUCAGGUGUCCCAGUGCACCGAAUGUCAGGCAGCCGGCAUAUCAAUAAAAAGCCCAACAGAGGUCAUGCCUAUACAGGUGUCUCAGCCAUUCGAACUCUUGGGGAUGGACCUCAUUGGCAAACUGGCUCAGACAAAAGAUGGAUACCAAUAUAUUUGCGUGAUGGUCGAUUAUUUCACGAAAUGGCCUCAAGCCUAUCCAUUGAGGUCGAAGUCUGCUGCUGAUGUUACCGCCUGUAUCCUAAAAUUCGUCUACCAAUUUGAGUCGCCAAAAAGGAUCUUGACAGAUCAAGGCAAAUAAUUUGUCAAUGCAAUCAACAAGAGAGUAUGUGAAAUGCUUGACAUAAAAAGAAGCCUUUGCUCACCAUACCACCCUCAAACUAAUGGGUUGGUGGAAAAUUUAAAUGGGACAAUUCAAAGGUGAGUAUACUUCGUUUACCCACAUUAAUCUUUGACAAUUUCUUGUUAUGAUGUUGCUCGUGAGUUUGUUUUUGUUUUCAGGGCACUUUCAAAGUAAAUA